UCGGCCAUACCAUGCUGAAUAUACCGGUUCUCGUUAGAUCACCGAAGUCAAGCAUCACUGGGCGCGGUCAGUACUUGGGUGGGUGACCACCUGGGAACACCGCGUGCCGUU
rnacentral:rRNA from 1 species